rnacentral:rRNA from 1 species
AUUGAACGCUGGCGGCAUGCCUUACACAUGCAAGUCGAACGGCAGCAUAGGAGCUUGCUCCUGAUGGCGAGUGGCGAACGGGUGAGUAAUAUAUCGGAACGUGCCCUAGAGUGGGGGAUAACUAGUCGAAAGACUAGCUAAUACCGCAUACGAUCUACGGAUGAAAGUGGGGGAUCGCAAGACCUCAUGCUCCUGGAGCGGCCGAUAUCUGAUUAGCUAGUUGGUGGGGUAAAAGCCUACCAAGGCAACGAUCAGUAGCUGGUCUGAGGGGACGACAGGCCACACUGGGACUGAGAAACGGCCCAGACUCCUAGGGGAGGCAGCAGUGGGGAAUUUUGGACAAUGGGGGCAACCCUGAUCCAGCAAUGCCGCGUGAGUGAAGAAGGCCGUCGGGUUGUAAAGCUCUUUUGUACGGAACGAAAAGGUUUGGGCUAAUAAGCUGAGCUCAUGACGGUACCGUAAGAAUAAGCACCGGCUAACUACGUGCCAGCCGCCGCAGUAA